rnacentral:lncRNA from 1 species
AGAACAGUUAUGCUGGUGGCCUUGAACUGACCCAGUUCUCUCUUUUUUGCUUGUAGUUCUCAAAAAUAACUAGAAUAUUCUGUGAAUGCAACAUCCAGUGAUAAGGAGCGACUGGCUGGAACAGCCUGGGCUCUGUUCCAGUCCCCCCUAGAAACAGGAUGUCCUUCAACACUUUAGCCCAGCAUGUCAUGUUACCCCUGGGGUAUAAAGCCCAGGGUGGGCUGCUAUCCAGGGUCCCUCAGCUGCGGCGCAAGUGGAGUAUGUACAAACAAAGCUUCAUCUACCUUGGUAACUUUCCUGAGCCUUGGAAGACCAGCUCAACAUGAAUCCUAGGCUUCUGCUGUCCUUUGCUGUCUUUCUUCCUCAGCCCACUCUUCAAUCAAUCAAAUCAGUGAAGAUUUAUGGAACAUUUGCCAUGUACCAGGCACUGCUUCAGAGGCUGGAGAUACAAAACUGAACAAGAGCAACACAAUCUCUGGUCUCAUGGAAUUUUCAAC